GGAUAAAUUCUGAUUAAAUAGGUUGGUAAGUGAAAUUAGUAGGAUAAAUUCUGAUUAAAUAGGUUGGUAAGUGAAAUUAGUAGGAUAAAUUCUGAUUAAAUAGGUUGGUAAGUGAAAUUAGUAGGAUAAAUUCUGAUUAAAUAGGUUGGUAAGUGAAAUUAGUAGGAUAAAUUCUGAUUAAAUAGGUUGGUAAGUGAAAUUAGUAGGAUAAAUUCUGAUUAAAUAGGUUGGUAAGUGAAAUUAGUAGGAUAAAUUCUGAUUAAAUAGGUUGGUAAGUGAAAAACUUUAGUUUUAAAACACCUUUAAAUUUGCAAUUUAAUAUCAUAUUUGAAUAUAAAGUUAAUUGAUUAAAAAGAAAAAAAUUCUUAUAAAUAAAUUUACAAUUUAUCGCUUAAUUUCAGCCAUUUAAUCAAAAUAAUUAUUUUUUUUUAAAAAAAAUAUAGAUAAAAAAAAAUAAAGUUUAUAUUUAUUUUAAAUUUGAUAAAAAAAAUUCAUAAUAAUCGAAACAAUGGUUAUUUUCUACUAAUCAUAAAAAUAUUGGUACUUUAUAUUUUAUUUUUGGAAUUUGAUCAGGAUUAAUUGGAACUUCUUUAAGAAUAUUAAUUCGUUUAGAAUUAAGACACCCAGGAGCUUUAAUUGGGAAUGAUCAAAUUUAUAAUGUAAUUGUUACUGCUCAUGCUUUUGUAAUAAUUUUUUUUAUAGUAAUACCUGUGAUAAUUGGUGGGUUUGGAAAUUGAUUAGUUCCUUUAAUAUUAGGAGCUCCUGAUAUAGCUUUUCCUCGGAUAAAUAAUAUAAGAUUUUGAUUAUUACCUCCUUCAAUUACUUUACUUUUAUUAAGAAGUUUAGUGGAAAAUGGGGCGGGAACUGGUUGAACUGUUUAUCCUCCAUUAUCAGCUAAUGUUUCUCAUGCUGGGGCUUCAGUUGAUUUAGCAAUUUUUUCUUUACAUUUAGCAGGGAUUAGUUCAAUUUUAGGAGCUGUAAAUUUUUUAACAAUUAUUAAUAUACGACCAGUAGGAAUAUCAUUUGAUCGUGUUCCAUUAUUUGUUUGAUCAGUAUUUAUUACAGCUAUUUUAUUAUUAUUAUCUUUACCAGUAUUAGCGGGAGCAAUUACUAUAUUGUUAACGGAUCGAAAUAUUAAUACUUCUUUUUUUGACCCGGCAGGAGGAGGUGAUCCUAUUUUAUACCAACAUUUAUUUUGAUUUUUUGGUCACCCAGAAGUUUAUAUUUUAAUUUUACCAGGAUUUGGGAUUGUUUCUCAUAUUAUUUGUCAAGAAA